UACGUAGGGUCCGAGCGUUGUCCGGAAUUAUUGGGCGUAAAGGGCUCGUAGGCGGUUUGUCGCGUCGGGAGUGAAAACACGGGGCUUAACCCCGUGCCUGCUUCCGAUACGGGCAGACUAGAGGUAUGCAGGGGAGAACGGAAUUCCUGGUGUAGCGGUGAAAUGCGCAGAUAUCAGGAGGAACACCGGUGGCGAAGGCGGCCACCUGGACGGUUACUGACGCUGAGGAGCGAAAGCCAGGGGAGCAAACGGG
rnacentral:rRNA from 1 species